GGUUCAAGUAGCUUGUUGCACAUGCAAUAUUAUUGCCUUUAGGUGUUGGUAAUGAUGAGUUACCACUAGCCACAGGAAAGUGUUCACCCCACUUCAACUUCUGGGCAAAGUUAUCCCCUCCGCCCAGAUUUUCACCACCACUGCCAAUGAUAGACAUGAAAGCUGCUGCUAGAGCUGAUUGGAAAUUAGGGUCUGCUGUGAUCGCC
rnacentral:misc_RNA from 1 species